AAAGGAAUCUCUGAGGAAUCUUGUUUAAAAUCAGAUUCUGAUUCAGUAGGUCUGGGGUGGGCCCAGAGAAUCUGAAUUUUUAACAGGCUCCCAGGGAUUGCAGU
rnacentral:pre_miRNA from 1 species